GCCUGGAUAGCUCAGUUAGUUAGAGUGUGGUGCUGAUAACGUCCAGGUUGCAGGUUCAAUCCCCACAUAGGAA
rnacentral:tRNA from 1 species